UUGUGUUUGUGUCCACGUAGAUAAGCUGUUUCCUCCCCCAAUCCGAAUGGUGUUGGGCGGCCUCUUUUAACGUAUAUGCUAAUGAAGCUUGGUUGUCUGCCUGCCUGUGUCACCAAGCUACCUGCUUGCUUCCGGUCAGCCCAACCUCACGCUGAGACAAGAGACUUCACAGUGGGUUUUCCUUAGGCGAUUCCCCCAAAGCUACUUGUCACCGCUCUUCCAUCCCCCUUUUGCUGCCACCACUCUUUCAUUGUGGCUGAGAACCUCUUUUUUUCCUAUCCAAACACCCCUUAAGGUAUUACGUUUUCGACGCCCCUCAGCCCCUCACUUCUCUUCUAUCUAUUGUAAUUAUAUCUAUUUUGGAACUCAAUUUUAUAUUUUUUUAGGUCUUUAAUCUUGAUCUUUUCGGAUUUACAAAAUCGUACAUUGAAUUUAUUGAUAAUGUUUCUUGAUUGCAUUUUCUACUCUAUGAAUUUGUAGAUGGUAAUGGAAUAACAAUCGUUCUUCUACCUCAUUUGCCCUACUUCAUCUCGGUACGACUGGAGACGGACGUCCA
rnacentral:lncRNA from 1 species